rnacentral:misc_RNA from 1 species
UGCAGGAUCUCUAGCAGUAGAGUAGCCUUGUUGCUACGAUCUGCUGAGGCUUAGCCUUUGUUCUACAGAUUUGUGCUUUUGCACUCUCUAUGAAUAUUUCGGACUGGAGGGUUACGACUCUGGCGGUGGUAUUCAUAGACAGUCAAUCACACAAGUCCGGAGAAUAAGUCGAAGCUAAGAUAAGAUUAAGCAACUGGAAUCAGUAGUAGUGAGACAAAGGUACCGGGCAAUGAAUACAUUGAAUCUGUAAUGGGUGUUCCCAAUGGCAAGAGGUGUCGCUACAGAUUCCGGUCAAGUCCUGUUACACUUCCGUCAAGUGUCAGACCACCUGUAGUCAAGUCCGCUGCAAGUAUGCAUUCUGUCUAGCUGUUCACAGAUGGUCAAUCAUCAGUGCGGACGGGUUAGUCAGACAUGAAUGGAAUCCCUUUGGGUGACCAACAGUCUUCGCGAUAACGUCUACAGAUUCCAUACAUUCUACUAGGCUGAGUCUAGAUCAUGUCUAAGUUCAACAAUGAACUUGCGUGUUCUGGGCUCAGCCAUUUCGCGUACUCUGAUAUUGGUCCGAGGUGAUCAAAAGGACUAGAAGAGUAUACUAGUAUCUACGGCCAUAGGACUCAGAAAAUACCGCAUCCCGUCCGAUCUGCAAAGUCCAACCUAAAAGAAGCGA